rnacentral:lncRNA from 1 species
GUGUAUGUAGGUGUGUGUGUGUGUGUGUGUGUGUGUGUGAGAGUUCAGGUGUGUUUGUGUGUGUGUGUGCGCACUCUUCGGCCGUAAGGCGAGCACCUUCUCCGUGCAUGGACUUUCUAAAACAUACUUCACUCUUGGCUAAGACGCCGUCACCGACCGGACACACACACCAGACGCCAUGGAGGACUGACAGGCUUGUUGUCGGCCUGUUAGCCGUCGGUCGGUGGAGUCUACUAUGGUACACGCCAGUCCUGUCGGCACGUCCCAGGGCAUGUGUGGUGGAAUAUGGUAUGGUACCUCUGUUGUCACUCUGACCGAGUCGCUCCUCUAGUAGAAGAGUCUGAUAUCAUUGACUUGGAGAAGCGCUAUUGGCUGCUGAAAGCCCAGUCCAGGACCGGACGCUUUGACUUGGAAACUUUUGUCCCGCUGGUUUCUCCUCCUAUUCACGCUUCGCUAAGUGAAGGUAUGGUAUAUUUCUGAUGUAUUAUUUUGAUGCCAGCCGGAUGUUAUGGAGAUGUUAUGUUAAACCUGGUUCCCCCAGAUAGACAGUCACCCAUGGACAUUCAAACACAGUAAUACACACACUAACACACACACACUAACACACACACACACACUAACACACACUAACACACACACACACUAACACACACACACACACACUAACACACACACACACUAACACACACACACACACACACACACACACACACACGCACACACACCACACACAACACAACAACAACACACACACACCACACAGCACACACAACACACACACACACACAACCACACACAACACCCACACACACACACACUAACACACACACACACUCUAACACACACACACACUCUAACACACACACUAACACACACAAUCAUGUAUACAUGCCAGAAUUUGUAUGCGUAUAUAUAUUGUGUGUGGAUCAUUUAGAUG